rnacentral:rRNA from 1 species
CACGUAGGGCGCAAGCGUUGUCCGGAAUUAUUGGGCGUAAAGAGCUCGUAGGCGGUCUGUCGCGUCUGCUGUGAAAUCCCGGGGCUCAACCCCGGGCUUGCAGUGGAUACGGGCAGACUAGAGUUCGGUAGGGGAGACUGGAAUUCCUGGUGUAGCGGUGAAAUGCGCAGAUAUCAGGAGGAACACCGGUGGCGAAGGCGGGUCUCUGGGCCGAUACUGACGCUGAGGAGCGAAAGCGUGGGGAGCGAACAGG